rnacentral:misc_RNA from 1 species
GAUGAAGAACGUAGCGAAAUGCGAUAAGUAAUGUGAAUUGCAGAAUUCAGUGAAUCAUCGAAUCUUUGAACGCACAUUGCGCCCGCCAGUAUUCUGGCGGGCAUGCCUGUUCGAGCGUCAUUUCAACCAUCAAGCCCUGCUUGCGUUGGGGUCCUGCGGCUGCCCGCAGGCCCUGAAAACCAGUGGCGGGCUCGCUAGUCACACCGAGCGCAGUAAUACAUCUCGCUUUGGGCGUGCGGCGGGUUCUCGCCGUUAAACACCCCCUUUUUACCAAGGUUGACCUCGGAUCAGGUAGGAAUACCCGCUGAACUUAAGCAUAUCAAUAAGCGGAGGA